UGUUUAUAUACUCCUACAACUGAAAGAAAUUUAAACUAUUCUUCUUAUAAAAAUUAAUCUAAUUUUCAUCUCUUCAAUAGUUAUUAGUUGUUUUAGUUGUACUAGUUGUACUAUUUUUUUUUAAAAUGUAUCUUCAUUUUUUUUUGUUUUCGAAACUAAAGAAGGCAGCUACGGUGCCAAAAGGUUGCAGUAGAAGAGGAUUCAAAGAAAGAAUUUUGCAAAAAAAAAAAUGAUAAAGAAGCCAUCACGAAGGUGAAGAGAAUGCACAAGUAUUCAUGGUUGGAUUUUGACUUGUGUUUGAACCACUUACUCUUUAUUCUUUUUUUGUUUCGAAUUUGUUGUAGUUUAAAGACGUAGUGUAUUUUUUUCUACAAUAGUAUUAGUCUCACUGGUACAAUAGUAUGACUAGUUUAACUACGUGUUACUAUCAGUACCGGCUCUAUGGGUGUGCAAAGAUUGCACAUGGACAGGGUCCUAUAUUUUUGGUCAAAAUUCUUUUACUUUUUAGGGCCCUAAAUUUUUAAUCUUUACAUUUUGGUCAACAUUUAUUUAUUCUCUAGGGCCUUAAAUUUUUAGUCUUUACAUUUUUUGUCAACAUUUCUUUAUUUUUAGGGCCCUAAAUUUUUAAUUUUUACAUGGAUUUAACUUUCAAAUUCAUGUUCACUAAUUUAGAAAAAUACAAUUACCAACAAAUUUUUGAGUAGGCCCUGGUUACUAUGUUGCCUUAGCUGUGCCAUAUAAGAAAUACAAUUACCUAAUUUGUACCAUUUCUUUAUGUUUACCUACUUGCAAAAUUACUUUGAUUCUAUGUUUUCAAAAAUAAUGUGGACAACCAAGUAAACAAACCUAAUGUAUAAGGUAUUAUCAUAUAAACAUAGUUGUACCAGUUUUUGAGUUGUACCGGUUUAUACGUAGUUGUACAUUGGCAGUGAAACCAAAAUAAACUAAUUGUUCCACACAAAAUUUAAACUUACCUCAGUUGUACCACUUCUUUAUGUGUACAUGCUUGCCCGGUUACAAUGAAAUCAACAAUUUUGUAAAAAUAUAUUCCAUGCUUGUUUUCCAAAAAUUAUGUAGACAAACAAGCUAACAAACCAUAAAAGUAUAACGUAGAUCAUGUAAACUUAUGGAAUUAUGUAAUAAUUUUCAAUUUUUAUUCCAAAACUACAAAAAAAUAAAGAGAAACUUUUUGAGUACAUACUAAUUGGAUAUUUGAUUGUUCUUCCUCAUAUGGAAUAUCAAAUUGGUUUUUAUCAAUUUCUGAAAUGUCAAAGUUGUACAAAUUGUACCAGUAAUACUCGUCUAACAUAUAAUAAAAAUAUCAAUCGUUUAUAUGUAUAGUUUAAGAUUUUACCAAUAUUUUCACAUCAUAACUUUGUAAAAAUAUGUUUGAUGUUUUUUUAUCAUAAUAAUAUAGAUAAUAUUAUUAACAAACCUUAAAGUGUAAAGUCUAUAAUGUAAAAUUAAGAGUGUAAUGUAGUAAUUUAACAAAAAUAUGAAAAAUCUCAAAUAAAUAGAUGAAAUCUAUAAUUCAUGUAUGUGUUCAAUUGCAUUAAUAGGGUUGUAGUGCACAAUCGAUAAGUUUGGGGAGAAAUUUAUUUAAUUUGGAUGUUUGGGGGCGUAAAUGAAAACAGCCAAAAGAUAAUGGACCAUUCAUGCAAUUGUGAAGAAGGACUGAAAUAUACAAUUGAUAUUUUUGGGGUAGAUUCAUGGAAAAAUAAUUACGAUUUAAUAGUUUGUUGCAAAAACAAGAAAAACAAAGAAACUGAAGGAUCUAAACAUAAAUAUGAACAAGUUGGCCGUUAGAGAAGCUCGAGAUCGCGGUUGACGUCGCAAAUCGAACACGACCACAUCGUGAUGGUUCUGAGAAGAAACUAUCUCUAUUGCUAUGGUGGAAGAAGACGAUUGCAGUGACAAACGGUGAGCUUGAUUGCCAUUUGAGACCACGAGGAAGAAGAUCUGCGACGGUUUAGAUUGGUGGUCAAAAUUGUUUGAAGACGCAGUAGAAACAUGGUCUUGGUGUAGAUAAGACAGAGGAUUUUGGUUGAAAGAAGCUUGACGGAAACUUGAAUCAUGGUGGAGAUGGAGAGAACACGAUGGAGGUAACCUACGCCGGCGGAGAUUUUUGUUUUUUGUUUUUUGUUUUUUGUUUUUAAUUAAUUCAUUAAUGGUGUUAUGGUAAUUCAUACGAUAGAGGUCCAUACAGAUUAAUUUAGUUUGUAGGAGAUUUUUUUAAGCUUUUUGAUCUAUUUCCGAAUUUUGUCCAAGAAUCAUCAGCAAAAAAGAGAUGAUAUACUGAUGGCCCUUGCUCAGAAAAUUGGAUACCAUUUAUUUCUUCUCUACGCUCCGCCUCAUUGAGCUGAUGUAAUAGCCCUUCAGUACGUAAAUCAAAAAGAAUAGGAGACAAAGGAUCACCCUGUCUCAACCCUCUACCCGGUCUUAUCAUCCCUUGAGCUUCUCUGUUAAUCAAGACAGUGUGUGUGACAGAUCGCACACAGAACAUAAUCCAUUCUCGAAAGGUCCCAGUGACUAAACAUGAACUCGAGAAGGCUACUUGGACAUUUCUGCAUACUCUUGAUGCGCAGUUGAAUACUUGACUGUUUUUUCUUUGCCCAAAAGUGACUCUUAACCAUCCAUUUGGUACAUUAGGUAUGAAUAGACUUAGAGGGAUAUUUUUUUAGUAUUGGUUGGAACUUAAAGAUAGUUGAGAGAACUCUUAGCUUUGACUUUUUGAUUCUUGCUUACGGUUGUUCUAUGCUCUUUGAUUUACUGAGUCAAACAAACAGAGUGUGCUUCAGUU